rnacentral:rRNA from 1 species
GAUGAACGCUGGCGGUCUGCUUAACACAUGCAAGUCGAGCGGAAUCCUUCGGGAUUUAGUGGCGGACGGGUGAGUAACACGUGUGAAUCUGCACUCAGGAUGGGGACAACAGCGGGAAACUGCUGCUAAUACCCAAUGUGCCGAAAGGUAAAAGAUUUAUCGCCUGAGAAUGAGCUCGCGGCCGAUUAGUUAGUUGGUGGGGUAAUGGCCUACCAAGACGGCGAUCGGUAGCUGGUCUGAGAGGAUGAGCAGCCACACUGGGACUGAGACACGGCCCAGACUCCUACGGGAGGCGGCAGUGGGGAAUUUUCCGCAAUGGGCGCAAGCCUGACGGAGCAAGACCGCGUGGGGGAGGAAGGCUCUUGGGUUGUAAACCCCUUUUCUCAAGGAAGAACAAAAUGACGGUACUUGAGGAAUCAGCCUCGGCUAACUCCGUGCCAGCAGCCGCCGUAACAC